UUGGACUCCGAACUCGGAAUAUAACCUGAAAGUGACCAGUAAAGGCACUAUAUCUUUUGGGGGUACGAGCGAGGCAUAAGAGAUGUAAAGGCUAGCGUAGUCUAGUUACUUUAGACUGUGUUUUGAAUUUUGGUUUUGUACUCGCGCUAUUCCUCGAAUGGAACAUUUGUACUUGGAUUGUAUAUAUUUUGAACUAGUUUAAGUAUAUCAAGACUUUGUACUUUGGUUUCUAUCAAUAUAAAUUAUAAGCUGGGAUUGCGGAUAUUA